UUACUUACCUGGACGAGGUCGAUGCGCGAUCAAUAAGGCCCAUGGCCUAGAUUGAUGGCCUCCAUUGCACUCCGGAGGGGCUCCAGUCUAAGGUCGGUCCAAGUGGUCGAGCCUACGUCAUAAUUUGUGGUAGAGGGGGCCUGCGUUCGCGCGGCCCCCAC
rnacentral:snRNA from 1 species